rnacentral:rRNA from 1 species
UACGAAGGGGGGCUAGCGUUGUUCGGAAUUACUGGGCGUAAAGAGCUCGUAGGUGGUUUGUCGCGUUGUUCGUGAAAACCUGAGGCUUAACCUUGGGCGUGCGGGCGAUACGGGCAGACUGGAGUACUGCAGGGGAGACUGGAAUUCCUGGUGUAGCGGUGGAAUGCGUAGAUAUCAGGAAGAACACCGGUGGCGAAGGCGGCUCGCUGGGCCAGAUCCGACACUCAUCCGCGAAAGCGUGGGGAGCAAACAGG